rnacentral:rRNA from 1 species
AACGAACGCUGGCGGCAGGCCUAACACAUGCCAGUCGAGCGCACCCUUCGGGGUGAGCGGCGGACGGGUGAGUAACGCGUGGGAACGUGCCCUUCUCUGCGGAAUAGCCUCGGGAAACUGAGAGUAAUACCGCAUACGCCCUUUGGGGGAAAGAUUUAUCGGAGAAGGAUCGGCCCGCGUUGGAUUAGGUAGUUGGUGGGGUAAUGGCCCACCAAGCCGACGAUCCAUAGCUGGUUUGAGAGGAUGAUCAGCCACACUGGGACUGAGACACGGCCCAGACUCCUACGGGAGGCAGCAGUGGGGAAUCUUAGACAAUGGGGGCAACCCUGAUCUAGCCAUGCCGCGUGAGUGAUGAAGGCCUUAGGGUUGUAAAGCUCUUUCAGCUGGGAAGAUAAUGACGGUACCAGCAGAAGAAGCCCCGGCUAACUCCGUG